rnacentral:lncRNA from 1 species
GCUUUAAUAUCUUAUUUAAAUAUGAAAUGACAUUUAUUUAUAUAUUGUAUUUCAGAUUCAUCACAACUCAUAGGAGACUUAUUAAGAUAUAUUUUGAGAUAGUUUGAACAGUCCAUAAUGAAUUGAAUCAACAUGAAAUUAUUGAUCGGAGAUUGAAGCUGUGAUCAAAGUCAAUAUUCACUUAUUUAAUGAAAUUUAUGAUGCAGAUGGGCAAUAUUCUAUCUCUCCUCCAAAACAUUCUUCAAUGGCACUGUCAUGGUUACCAUCUUGAUUUUCGGUUUCUUUUUUUAACAUGGCCAUUCAACACUGGAUUUUCCUCAUUGAGCAUGAAGAUGUAGCUGAUUAUUUGUCAGCCAAUGAAAAUAAAGUAUAUGAAAAGGAAUUAUUAAUAGCCAAUGAAAAUAAAGUAUAUUAAAAGGAAUUUAAUAAUAGCCAAUGAAAAUAUUUCUUUCUUUUUUUUCUCUCCCCACGUGUUUCUUUUUCUACUUUUAUAUUGGUUAUUAUUAGUUAAAUUUUUUUUGUGUGCAUAUUUAAUAUUAAUUUGAAAUAUUAGAAUGAAAAGGUUUAUAUUUAAAAACGAUCUGUUAUAAAAUAAUAUUCAAUUUUUUUAAGGUAUCUCUAAAUAAAUUCCACAUUUAUUUAGAAUAAAUAUGAUCAUAUUUUUAAUUUGAACAUAGUUUCCCUCCUGAUAGUAGAAGUAUAAUGGGAGUUAUUCAUUCUCAGAAAACAAACCCAUAAUCUCCCACUUAAUUUAAUAAAACCUUUUCAUCUAAAUAAAUCGUCUUAAAAACAUCUUAAUUACUGAGUUUGAAAGUCUUCGUCGAAAUUUGAAAAUAAAGAGUUCAUUUUAUUAUUCUUACCCCGAAUUAGCCUUGACCUAGAAGAUAAUAUUUUAAUUUUUAUAUUAUCUAUUUGUAUUAUAAAUCUAUUUUAAAUUGUUUUGAUAUAACGAAAUUGACUUGCUUAAAAUUAUGUAUGUAUAACAACUCGGACAUACUACAAGGUUAUUCUUGUUUAGCUAUUUAAUUAUUAAAUUUAACGUGACAUUAUUAUUUAUUGUAAAUAAUUAAAUUGUGGUUGCAGAUUAGUGAAAGUUUAUUUUAUCUUGUUUAAUUUACAUAAAUAUUAAAUAAUUUGUAUUUAGCUUGUAAUCAUUAGUUGUGACAUCUCACUUAUAAGUGAUUUGUAACUUUUGGUCUAGAAUAAGUUCUUUCGUCUUGUACAAAUUGGUUUAGAGACACAUUUCAGUAAUAAUAAUUACCUUAAAUCAA